UAAGGAAUAUUGGUCAAUGGACGAAAGUCUGAACCAGCCAUGCCGCGUGAAGGAUGAAGGCCCUCUGGGUUGUAAACUUCUUUUAUAGGGGACGAAAAAAGCUCAUUCUUGAGCACUUGACGGUACCCUAGGAAUAAGCACCGGCUAACUCCGUGCCAGCAGCCGCGGUAAUACGGAGGGUGCAAGCGUUAUCCGGAUUUACUGGGUUUAAAGGGUGCGUAGGUGGGCAGUUAAGUCAGUGGUGAAAUCUCCGGGCUUAACCCGGAAACUGCCAUUGAUACUAUCUGUCUUGAAUAUUCUGGAGGUAAGCGGAAUAUGUCAUGUAGCGGUGAAAUGCUUAGAUAUGACAUAGAACACCCAUUGCGAAGGCAGCUUACUACGGGAUUAUUGACACUGAGGCACGAAAGCGUGGGGAUCAAACAGG
rnacentral:rRNA from 1 species